CUUAAGCAGAGCAGCUUUGAUGAUUGUUACAUUUGUAACUUACUGUUGACAAUUUCAAAUUAUUCUGUACAAUUUUUUUUUCUUUAGUCGAAUCUACAAAGCCUACCACUGUUACAUCUUCCUCUUCAACGAAUGUUCCUUCUACUUCUGCUAUAAGUGGUAUGUUUACAAAAUUUUACUUUUCAAUAUGUUUAUGCGUUUCUUGGCAAUUGCAGUAUCUGUUUUUAAUUACAACUUUGAUAACCUUUACUUGCAUCUUCAGCGGCUACUAUGACUAUUCCAUGUGCAUAACUUUCUACUGGUAAAUUUAUGAUUUAAAAAUGUUUCUGAAUGGUUAUUGAAUUUAUGUUCCUAUUUAUAUACAAUAUUUAAUUCAUUAGUAUUGUGUUAUCCCUCAAAGUGUGGUAUAAUGAAAUUAUUACUCUCAUUAACAUUUUUUAAGCUAUCAUUGAUUAAUAUGUUGUUCAUAUUAUUUAUUCAUCCUAUCACUUUCACUAACAAUUGUUUUAUAUUACAUUUUAAAGCAGAACAGCUU
rnacentral:lncRNA from 1 species